rnacentral:rRNA from 1 species
CACGUAGGCGGAUUUGUAAGUCAGGGGUGAAAUCCCGGGGCUCAACCUCGGAACUGCCUUUGAUACUGCAAGUCUCGAGUCCGAUAGAGGUGGGUGGAAUUCCUAGUGUAGAGGUGAAAUUCGUAGAUAUUAGGAAGAACACCGGUGGCGAAGGCGGCCCACUGGAUCGGUACUGACGCUGAGGUGCGAAAGCGUGGGGGAGAAC